rnacentral:rRNA from 1 species
GCUUAACACAUGCAAGUCGAGCGCGAAAGUCCCUUCGGGGAUGAGUAGAGCGGCGGACGGGUGAGUAACGCGUAGGAAUCUGCCUGGUAGUGGGGGAUAACUCGGGGAAACUCGAGCUAAUACCGCAUACGCCCCAUGGGGGAAAGCGGGGGACCUUCGGGCCUCGCGCUAUCAGAUGAGCCUGCGUCGGAUUAGCUAGUUGGUGGGGUAAUGGCCCACCAAGGCGACGAUCCGUAGCUGGUCUGAGAGGAUGAUCAGCCACACUGGGACUGAGACACGGCCCAGACUCCUACGGGAGGCAGCAGUGGGGAAUAUUGGACAAUGGGGGCAACCCUGAUCCAGCCAUACCGCGUGUGUGAAGAAGGCCUUCGGGUUGUAAAGCACUUUCAGUGGGGAGGAAAAGGCUCCGGCUAAUAUCCGGGGCCCGUGACGCUACCCACAGAAGAAGCACCGGCAAACUCCGUGCCAGCAGCCGCGGUAAUAC